UCUACUGCUUCUUCUUCUCGAUUCGUCUUUCCGCAGUUUGGAUCCAGAAAGGGAAUAGUACGAUUGAAGGGUGAGUGCUUUCAUCUCGCAACAACUGGUAUCAGAGCUACGUUCCCCGUGUUCCAAUGGCUGACGAAGGAAGAUUGAGGAUAGAGAAAUUCAACGGACAGAACUUUGGUGUGUGGAAGAUGCAGAUGGAAG
rnacentral:lncRNA from 1 species